rnacentral:lncRNA from 1 species
UCCCCAUAUUGUGAAAACAUCUCUUGUAUCAACAGAUUUCUUAUAAUGCUCAAUAUAAGCCGUUCCGUUUAAUACUACAAAUCGAAAAUCAGCCACUCCUUUAGCCCUUUCGACCGAUUCUUCGGUUAUCCCAGUCACACUCCAUGGCCGUAGAUCUUCGUGAAUCCAACGGAAGAAAUCCGGACACAUGUGUGGGAGUCCUGUUGAGUGGGAUUUCGAUUUUGUCGUGGAUUGUAACGAUUGAGCUCUCGAAAUUUUGAGCUGUUGGCUGGUACACACAAUAAUCAAAUAAAAAACAAAAUUUGAGAUUAGGCGUGUUGAUAAACCGUCUAACCACCCAAACCGAAAAAAGUCAGCAAGUUCAGGAUCGGUUUGGUAUGUUAAGACACAGGCACGGUACCGGUACCGAUACUAGGUAUUGUUUACAAUACCAAAAAUCGAAGGAUACAACACGUGUUUUAAAUUGAUCAAAAACCAUAGAAGUAAAUACCGAGAGACCAGUUCCGAUGAUACCGGUACCGAUGUCGGUAUCGGUUAAAAAAUUACUAUAAUAAAAAAACUAUUAAACACACUAGUGUAUUAAGUUUUUAUUUGUUAAAUUAACGAAUACAAGUUACUAGAGAAUAAUCAAAUUAAAUUAAAAUUAAAUGGGUUAAACACGCAUAUUAUAUUAUUUAAGGUAUAAAAAGAUGAAAUUGAAAAAAUAAUAAUAACAUCUUAUAAUAAAGUUAGUGUCGAUAGUUCAUGCAAAUUAAUGAUAUAACUUUUUCUUUUCUAAACCCGCAAAAGUGACUAAAGGUGAAGGGAGUGGUUACCUAUUUGGAAUAGGUAAACUCCUCAUUCAUCAACCAAAGAGUGUCACGUCAAUUUAUCUAUUUUGUUUAGCUAAUGCUCAAAAACGUUAGCGGUGGUUUACCUAUCUUGGAUUAGGUAAACUAUUAUUUUUAUUUAAAGAAAAACAUAAUAAAUGAAAAUAGGAGGCAAAAGCUGACAAAGUGCCUUCCCCUCAUUGGUAAACCUUCACCGCUCACCCUACCUCACCAAUCGGUAAACACCAUCGGCGGUGUUACCGAUCGAUAAACACGUUUGCCGAUGGAGUUUACCUCCCACUCCGCUCACCCUAAACCAACAGAACCGUCAAACUGUGAAAACUGACCUGUUGGCCAACACGGCCAGUUUGGUUUUAGUUUUCCUAAAACCGACAGAACCGGGCCAUGUACACCCUUACAUAAGGUUUCUGAAAAGAAGAAACGCUGAGAGGAUUACCGAUACGGUGAAUUCAAGCAACCGAACAGAAACACACAAGCCGAUGAACAAGGAAACUGCGAGAAACAGAAAUCGAAAAGAUGAUCUAGAAGCUGCAUUUGUGUAGCAGAUGAACAAUGGCAGCCAGAUGCUCUGUGGGAUAUGCCUGUGAAUUCCUGCAAAUCUCGUACCCGAAAUCAAAUUGUUAAUCCUCUGAAAGUUCCUCCGCCCCUGUUGCAUCAUUUUCGAUCGAUUAAUUAAAAACAACAACAAUAAUUCUGUUAAGUGGUCAUCAAAUUGGAUACUGCAAAAGGAACAUGCGUUUCAUUAAAAUUGUUGUAUACAGAGAGAAUGAAUUGUAACAGGAAGUGCAUU